rnacentral:rRNA from 1 species
UUAAGCGACUAAGCGUACACGGUGGAUGCCCUGGCAGUCAGAGGCGAUGAAGGACGUGCUAAUCUGCGAUAAGCGUCGGUAAGGUGAUAUGAACCGUUAUAACCGGCGAUUUCCGAAUGGGGAAACCCAGUGUGAUUCGUCACACUAUCAUUAACUGAAUCCAUAGGUUAAUGAGGCGAACCGGGGGAACUGAAACAUCUAAGUACCCCGAGGAAAAGAAAUCAACCGAGAUUCCCCCAGUAGCGGCGAGCGAACGGGGAGCAGCCCAGAGCCUGAAUCAGUGUGUGUGUUAGUGGAAGCGUCUGGAAAGGCGCGCGAUACAGGGUGACAGCCCCGUACACAAAAAUGCACAGCUGUGAGCUCGAUGAGUAGGGCGGGACACGUGGUAUCCUGUCUGAAUAUGGGGGGACCAUCCUCCAAGGCUAAAUACUCCUGACUGACCGAUAGUGAACCAGUACCGUGAGGGAAAGGCGAAAAGAACCCCGGCGAGGGGAGUGAAAAAGAACCUGAAACCGUGUACGUACAAGCAGUGGGAGCACGCUUAGGCGUGUGACUGCGUACCUUUUGUAUAAUGGGUCAGCGACUUAUAUUCUGUAGCAAGGUUAACCGAAUAGGGGAGCCGAAGGGAAACCGAGUCUUAACUGGGCGUUAAGUUGCAGGGUAUAGACCCGAAACCCGGUGAUCUAGCCAUGGGCAGGUUGAAGGUUGGGUAACACUAACUGGAGGACCGAACCGACUAAUGUUGAAAAAUUAGCGGAUGACUUGUGGCUGGGGGUGAAAGGCCAAUCAAACCGGGAGAUAGCUGGUUCUCCCCGAAAGCUAUUUAGGUAGCGCCUCGUGAAUUCAUCUCCGGGGGUAGAGCACUGUUUCGGCAAGGGGGUCAUCCCGACUUACCAACCCGAUGCAAACUGCGAAUACCGGAGAAUGUUAUCACGGGAGACACACGGCGGGUGCUAACGUCCGUCGUGAAGAGGGAAACAACCCAGACCGCCAGCUAAGGUCCCAAAGUCAUGGUUAAGUGGGAAACGAUGUGGGAAGGCCCAGACAGCCAGGAUGUUGGCUUAGAAGCAGCCAUCAUUUAAAGAAAGCGUAAUAGCUCACUGGUCGAGUCGGCCUGCGCGGAAGAUGUAACGGGGCUAAACCAUGCACCGAAGCUGCGGCAGCGACGCUGAUGCGUUGUUGGGUAGGGGAGCGUUCUGUAAGCCUGCGAAGGUGUGCUGUGAGGCAUGCUGGAGGUAUCAGAAGUGCGAAUGCUGACAUAAGUAACGAUAAAGCGGGUGAAAAGCCCGCUCGCCGGAAGACCAAGGGUUCCUGUCCAACGUUAAUCGGGGCAGGGUGAGUCGACCCCUAAGGCGAGGCCGAAAGGCGUAGUCGAUGGGAAACAGGUUAAUAUUCCUGUACUUGGUGUUACUGCGAAGGGGGGACGGAGAAGGCUAUGUUGGCCGGGCGACGGUUGUCCCGGUUUAAGCGUGUAGGCUGGUUUUCCAGGCAAAUCCGGAAAAUCAAGGCUGAGGCGUGAUGACGAGGCACUACGGUGCUGAAGCAACAAAUGCCCUGCUUCCAGGAAAAGCCUCUAAGCAUCAGGUAACAUCAAAUCGUACCCCAAACCGACACAGGUGGUCAGGUAGAGAAUACCAAGGCGCUUGAGAGAACUCGGGUGAAGGAACUAGGCAAAAUGGUGCCGUAACUUCGGGAGAAGGCACGCUGAUAUGUAGGUGAAGUCCCUCGCGGAUGGAGCUGAAAUCAGUCGAAGAUACCAGCUGGCUGCAACUGUUUAUUAAAAACACAGCACUGUGCAAACACGAAAGUGGACGUAUACGGUGUGACGCCUGCCCGGUGCCGGAAGGUUAAUUGAUGGGGUCAGCGCAAGCGAAGCUCUUGAUCGAAGCCCCGGUAAACGGCGGCCGUAACUAUAACGGUCCUAAGGUAGCGAAAUUCCUUGUCGGGUAAGUUCCGACCUGCACGAAUGGCGUAAUGAUGGCCAGGCUGUCUCCACCCGAGACUCAGUGAAAUUGAACUCGCUGUGAAGAUGCAGUGUACCCGCGGCAAGACGGAAAGACCCCGUGAACCUUUACUAUAGCUUGACACUGAACAUUGAGCCUUGAUGUGUAGGAUAGGUGGGAGGCUUUGAAGUGUGGACGCCAGUCUGCAUGGAGCCGACCUUGAAAUACCACCCUUUAAUGUUUGAUGUUCUAACGUUGACCCGUAAUCCGGGUUGCGGACAGUGUCUGGUGGGUAGUUUGACUGGGGCGGUCUCCUCCUAAAGAGUAACGGAGGAGCACGAAGGUUGGCUAAUCCUGGUCGGACAUCAGGAGGUUAGUGCAAUGGCAUAAGCCAGCUUGACUGCGAGCGUGACGGCGCGAGCAGGUGCGAAAGCAGGUCAUAGUGAUCCGGUGGUUCUGAAUGGAAGGGCCAUCGCUCAACGGAUAAAAGGUACUCCGGGGAUAACAGGCUGAUACCGCCCAAGAGUUCAUAUCGACGGCGGUGUUUGGCACCUCGAUGUCGGCUCAUCACAUCCUGGGGCUGAAGUAGGUCCCAAGGGUAUGGCUGUUCGCCAUUUAAAGUGGUACGCGAGCUGGGUUUAGAACGUCGUGAGACAGUUCGGUCCCUAUCUGCCGUGGGCGCUGGAGAACUGAGGGGGGCUGCUCCUAGUACGAGAGGACCGGAGUGGACGCAUCACUGGUGUUCGGGUUGUCAUGCCAAUGGCACUGCCCGGUAGCUAAAUGCGGAAGAGAUAAGUGCUGAAAGCAUCUAAGCACGAAACUUGCCCCGAGAUGAGUUCUCCCUGACUCCUUGAGAGUCCUGAAGGAACGUUGAAGACGACGACGUUGAUAGGCCGGGUGUGUAAGCGCAGCGAUGCGUUGAGCU